rnacentral:tRNA from 3 species
GGGCGAUUAGCUCAGUGGGAGAGCGCUUCGUUCACACCGAAGAGGUCCGGGGUUCGAAACCCCGAUCGCCCACCA